rnacentral:rRNA from 1 species
GUCCUAGCCCUAAACGAUGCUCAUUAGGUGUGGUAGGUAUCGACCCCUUCCGCGCCGAAGCUAACGCAUUAAAUGAGCCGCCUGGGGAGUACGGCCGCAAGGUUGAAACUCAAAGGAAUUGACGGGGCCCGCACAAGCGGUGGAGCAUGUGGUUUAAUUCGACGCAACGCGAAGAACCUUACCUGGGCUUGAACUACUGGUAGUAAGCCGUUGGAAACAUCGGCUGAUCCGCAAGGAGCCAGCAGAGGUGCUGCAUGGUUGUCGU